AUUGAACGCUGGCGGCAGGCCUAACACAUGCAAGUCGAGCGCGCGUCGCACGCGUGAGUGAUGUCUGGGGGACUGCCUGUUGGGGGGGGAGAACUCCUGUGGACGCUAGCUAAUACCGCGCACCAUCAGAUGUGCCCUGGUGGGAUUAGCUAGGCGGUGGGGUAACGGCUCACCUAGGCGACGAUCCCGAGCUGGUCUGAGAGGGUGAUCAGCCACACUGGAACUGAGACACGGUCCAGACUCCUACGGGAGGCAGCAGUGGGGAAUAUUGGACAAUGGGCGAAAGCCUGAUGCAGCAAGGCCGCGUGAGUGAAGAAGGCCUUCGGGUUGUAAAGCACUGUCAGCGGGGAGGCGUUACCCGAAGAAGAAGCACCGGCUAACUCCGUGCCAGCAGCCGCGGUAAUAC
rnacentral:rRNA from 1 species